rnacentral:rRNA from 1 species
GAUGAACGCUGGCGGCGUGCUUAACACAUGCAAGUCGAACGGUGAAGGCGGAGCUUGCUCUGCUGGAUCAGUGGCGAACGGGUGAGUAACACGUGAGCAAUCUGCCCCUGACUCUGGGAUAAGCGCUGGAAACGGCGUCUAAUACUGGAUACGAGCUGCGAAGGCAUCUUCAGCAGCUGGAAAGAAUUUCGGUCAGGGAUGAGCUCGCGGCCUAUCAGCUUGUUGGUGAGGUAAUGGCUCACCAAGGCGUCGACGGGUAGCCGGCCUGAGAGGGUGACCGGCCACACUGGGACUGAGACACGGACCAGACUCCUACGGGAGGCAGCAGUGGGGAAUAUUGCACAAUGGGCGAGAGCCUGAUGCAGCAACGCCGCGUGAGGGACGACGGCCUUCGGGUUGUAAACCUCUUUUAGCAGGGAAGAAGCGAAAGUGACGGUACCUGAAGAAAAAGCGCCGGCUAACUACGUG